rnacentral:rRNA from 1 species
AGCGAACGCUGGCGGCAGGCCUAACACAUGCAAGUCGAACGGACCCUUCGGGGUUAGUGGCGGACGGGUGAGUAACACGUGGGAACGUGCCUUUAGGUUCGGAAUAGCUCCUGGAAACGGGUGGUAAUGCCGAAUGUGCCCCUUCGGGGGAAAGAUUUAUCGCCUUUAGAGCGGCCCGCGUCUGAUUAGCUAGUUGGUGGGGUAAUGGCCCACCAAGGCUACGAUCAGUAGCUGGUCUGAGAGGAUGACCAGCCACAUUGGGACUGAGACACGGCCCAAACUCCUACGGGAGGCAGCAGUGGGGAAUAUUGGACAAUGGGCGCAAGCCUGAUCCAGCCAUUGCCGCGUGUGUGAAGAAGGCCCUUUUGGUNUAAAGCCACUUUAAGCGAGG